AGUGAACGCUGGCGGUAGGCCUAACACAUGCAAGUCGAACGGCAGCACAGUAAGAGCUUGCUCUUACGGGUGGCGAGUGGCGGACGGGUGAGGAAUACAUCGGAAUCUACUUUUUCGUGGGGGAUAACGUAGGGAAACUUACGCUAAUACCGCAUACGACCUACGGGUGAAAGCAGGGGAUCUUCGGACCUUGCGCGAUUGAAUGAGCCGAUGUCGGAUUAGCUAGUUGGCGGGGUAAAGGCCCACCAAGGCGACGAUCCGUAGCUGGUCUGAGAGGAUGAUCAGCCACACUGGAACUGAGACACGGUCCAGACUCCUACGGGAGGCAGCCGUGGGGAAUAUUGGACAAAGGGCGCAAGCCUGAUCCAGCCAUACCGCGUGGGUGAAGAAGGCCUUCGGGUUGUAAAGCCCUUUUGUUGGGAAAGAAAAGCAGCAGGUUAAUACCCCGCUGUUCUGACGGUACCCAAAGAAUAAGCACCGGCUAACUUCGUG
rnacentral:rRNA from 1 species